rnacentral:rRNA from 1 species
UUGAACGCUGGCGGCAGGCCUAACACAUGCAAGUCGAGCGGUAGCACAGAGAGCUUGCUCUCGGGUGACGAGCGGCGGACGGGUGAGUAAUGUCUGGGAAACUGCCUGAUGGAGGGGGAUAACUACUGGAAACGGUAGCUAAUACCGCAUAAUGUCGCAAGACCAAAGUGGGGGACCUUCGGGCCUCAUGCCAUCAGAUGUGCCCAGAUGGGAUUAGCUAGUAGGUGGGGUAACGGCUCACCUAGGCGACGAUCCCUAGCUGGUCUGAGAGGAUGACCAGCCACACUGGAACUGAGACACGGUCCAGACUCCUACGGGAGGCAGCAGUGGGGAAUAUUGCACAAUGGGCGCAAGCCUGAUGCAGCCAUGCCGCGUGUGUGAAGAAGGCCUUCGGGUUGUAAAGCACUUUCAGCGGGGAGGAAGGCGGUAAGGUUAAUAACCUCAUCGAUUGACGUUACCCGCAGAAGAAGCACCGGCUAACUCCGUGCCAGCAGCCGCGGUAAUACGGAGGGUGCAAGCGUUAAUCGGAAUUACUGGGCGUAAAGCGCACGCAGGCGGUCUGUCAAGUCGGAUGUGAAAUCCCCGGGCUCAACCUGGGAACUGCAUUCGAAACUGGCAGGCUAGAGUCUUGUAGAGGGGGGUAGAAUUCCAGGUGUAGCGGUGAAAUGCGUAGAGAUCUGGAGGAAUACCGGUGGCGAAGGCGGCCCCCUGGACAAAGACUGACGCUCAGGUGCGAAAGCGUGGGGAGCAAACAGGAUUAGAUACCCUGGUAGUCCACGCCGUAAACGAUGUCGAUUUGGAGGUUGUGCCCUUGAGGCGUGGCUUCCGGAGCUAACGCGUUAAAUCGACCGCCUGGGGAGUACGGCCGCAAGGUUAAAACUCAAAUGAAUUGACGGGGGCCCGCACAAGCGGUGGAGCAUGUGGUUUAAUUCGAUGCAACGCGAAGAACCUUACCUGGUCUUGACAUCCACAGAACUUUCCAGAGAUGGAUUGGUGCCUUCGGGAACUGUGAGACAGGUGCUGCAUGGCUGUCGUCAGCUCGUGUUGUGAAAUGUUGGGUUAAGUCCCGCAACGAGCGCAACCCUUAUCCUUUGUUGCCAGCGGUCCGGCCGGGAACUCAAAGGAGACUGCCAGUGAUAAACUGGAGGAAGGUGGGGAUGACGUCAAGUCAUCAUGGCCCUUACGACCAGGGCUACACACGUGCUACAAUGGCAUAUACAAAGAGAAGCGACCUCGCGAGAGCAAGCGGACCUCAUAAAGUAUGUCGUAGUCCGGAUUGGAGUCUGCAACUCGACUCCAUGAAGUCGGAAUCGCUAGUAAUCGUAGAUCAGAAUGCUACGGUGAAUACGUUCCCGGGCCUUGUACACACCGCCCGUCACACCAUGGGAGUGGGUUGCAAAAGAAGUAGGUAGCUUAACCUUCGGGAGGGCGCUUACCACUUUGUGAUUCAUGACUGGGGUGAAGUCGUAACAAGGUAACCGUAGGGGAACCUGCGGCUGGAUCACC